rnacentral:misc_RNA from 1 species
GUGGGUGGACAGGCUCCCUGCUUGUGCAGCGAACUGUUUUACGUACGUAUCUUCAUGUUAGUCUCAAUUGCCUUGAUUUUGCACAUUGGGCUACCUUUGGUUUCUGUGUUGGUUACCUACUCGGAAGGAAAUUGUCCCAUAUCUUUGUAUCACAUUGCCGUGAACCCCUUUAUGGGAUGCUCGGUUUUGUCAAUAGUUUGCUUAUUCCAUUUUCACUCUCUACUACAAUGUAGUGGUGACAUGGCCUAUGCAAAAAAACUAUUCGUACUCGUGGAUGCAGAACAUUGUAGCGGGUAAUUGGGUCACUACCCUUUUAGCCCAAGCAGAGCUUUUUAUGCUCGGCAUGUACGACAGCUGUGAUUGCGUUGACCUUCCCAACUUUUUUGAUGGGAGGGCUCAU